GGUCGGGUGGCGCAAUGGUAGCGCGUUACUUUCCGGUGUUCUGAAUAUCAAUAGUUGGUAAAGGCUCUGGGUUCGAAUCCCAGCUCGAUCG